rnacentral:rRNA from 1 species
CAGUCGCCACGGUAAUACGUAGGUGGCAAGCGUUGUCCGGAAUUAUUGGGCGUAAAGGGCUCGCAGGCGGUUUCUUAAGUCUGAUGUGAAAGCCCCCGGCUCAACCGGGGAGGGUCAUUGGAAACUGGGAAACUUGAGUGCAGAAGAGGAGAGUGGAAUUCCACGUGUAGCGGUGAAAUGCGUAGAGAUGUGGAGGAACACCAGUGGCGAAGGCGACUCUCUGGUCCGUAACUGACGGUGAGGAGCGAAAGCGUGGGGAGCGAACAGGAUUAGAUACCCCGGUAGUCCCUGUCUCUUAUAC